AACCCCCCGUCCGUCAAACGUUUCGUUCAACCAACGCACAAACAUACAACCAAAACAUGCCAUACACCCAACCCUAAUACCAAGAGCAUUACCCCAUACCACCACUAACAAAUUGACCAUCAACUUGAGACCCAACAUCGCUUCGCACCCACUCCAUCACCCUACCAAAGCCGCCUUAGCCAGAACACCCAACGAUCAUUCAACACCAACCACCCCUCCUCAUACCAUAGCUAAGAAGCCCAAACCUCACAAAACCAAAACAUCCAACAACCCUAUCUCUACC
rnacentral:lncRNA from 1 species